rnacentral:rRNA from 1 species
CCUACGGGUGGCAGCAGUGGGGAAUAUUGCACAAUGGGGGAAACCCUGAUGCAGCGACGCCGCGUGAGUGAAGAAGUAUCUCGGUACGUAAAGCUCUAUCAGCAGGGAAGAAAAUGACGGUACCUGACUAAGAAGCCCCGGCGAACUACGUGCCAGCAGCCGCGGUAAUACGUAGGGGGCAAGCGUUAUCAGGAUUUACUGGGUGUAAAGGGGGCGUAGACGGCAGCACAAGUCUGGAGUGAAAACCGGGGGGUUAACCCCGGAACUGCUUUGGAAACUGUGCGGCUGGAGUGCAGGAGGGGUAGGCGGAAUUCCUAGUGUAGCGGUGAAAUGCGUAGAUAUUAGGAGGAACACCGGUGGCGAAGGCGGCUUACUGGACUGUAACUGACGUUGAGGCUCGAAGGCGUGGGGAGCAAACAGGAGUAGAUACCCGGGUAGUC